rnacentral:lncRNA from 1 species
UUUAGAUAGAUUUCACAUGUAAAAAAUGAUAUCGUAUAUGCAAAAUAAAUAUCAAAAUAUUCCAAAAAUGGUCAUUUACAUCUAUUUCAUCAUUAAAAUAUCCCAUCAGCCUCUGCCACAACAAACUCUCCAUAUACUGAGUCUCCCACAUCAGUUCUUUCAACAUCUCCUGCCAGUCCAAGUGCUUCUACAACUGAGACUCAAACAACAGAACCUACAACACCGCCUGCAAGUGCAAGCCCUUCAGAUUCUCAAACAGCAGAACCCACAAGUAAGUAAUACACAAGUACAGUUGUAUGAAAAGUAUUCCAGGAAUGUUUAACCAUUCUGCUGUUAAUGUAAAUUAAAAUUGUAGUGAGUAGUCAGGGUGACAACAGAGGGGAUAAUUCACAGUU